rnacentral:tmRNA from 1 species
GGGGGCGAUCUGGUAUCGACCGGGUGACGGAAGUGCCUGGUGGCGUGUCGUGGUUGAUCAGUUGGCCACGUAAAAAGCUGAUCACACAUUAACUGCUGAACCGCAGUACUCCCUCGCGGCCUAAGUGCCAUGAGCCGUCUUCGCUUCUUCGCCUGAGAGGAGCGGAUUCGGACGCAAGUCAGGCUCGCUUGGACUCGAGGAUCGGGGCAACCCAAUCCGUUUCGGCGGCCGUCCAGGCUAAGAGAAUCUGGCCGAUAGUUGUCCCGGCGUCCUGCCCGUAGGAAACCGGUUUAACGAACGUGCGGCGGCCCCGUAAGGGGCGUGGCGCAGAAAUUUACGGGCUACACACGUAGAUGCCGGCGCGGAAGCGCCUCGGGACCGGGGUUCGAUUCCCCGCGCCUCCACUG